UAACCACUCAAGCCUUUGCUUGGUAUUGGGGUUCGCGGUUUCGCGGCUCCUAAAAUCAGUGGCGGUGCCUGUCGGCUCUACGCGUAGUAAUACUCCUCGCGUCUGGGUCCGGUAGGUGACUUGCCAGCAACCUCCAAAUUUUUACA
rnacentral:misc_RNA from 1 species